UAAUAGUGGGAUAUUAGGAUGUUUGAAUAGAAAAAAAAAAAUACCAUUAUCUUAUUUGGUUUUAUUUUAUUUUUUCCUUGAUUCUCUCAAAGUCUGCUCCCGCGUUUUGUUUCAAGUUGGUUACCCCUCAUUCCCCAUUUGUUUUACACGCCGCUUGUUCUUUUCUUAGCUAUCGAGAUAUGCCUUCUUCUUGAUUUGAUUUUUCCCUUCUAUUUCAUCUUUCUUUUAUUAUUCAAUUUUUGCUACCUAAUUCUUGAAGCAUUAAUCCUUGUUUUGUGGGCUAUGCACUAAAGGUGAAGUUCAAGAGAUGUUUAAUCCAUCGGCGAAUUAGGAUUUUGGGAAAGUGUUGUUCGACCAAGGGUAACCCUCAGACUUAGGCGAGUCGAUACGACGGGAGCUCGAUUAUGUCCACAUUUCCUUAAACUCUAUUUACUUAAAUUUGAUUUAUUUAAAUUUCUGAUUUGAGAAUUUUAUAAAUUUUGGACUCUCUGAACAUUUGAGAUUGUUUUUGUUAUAGAUUUUUGGCAUGACACUCGAUAGAACGACUUUACGAAAACGACUAUUUUUUUGCAAUUAACUAUUUUUGAGAAAAUAAACUCGAUUUUUCAAAAUAUAA